rnacentral:rRNA from 1 species
UACAGAGGGUGCAAGCGUUGUUCGGAAUUAUUGGGCGUAAAGCGCGCGUAGGCGGCUUUGCAAGUCGGGUGUGAAAGCCCUCAGCUCAACUGAGGAAGUGCGCCCGAAACUGCAGAGCUUGAGUGCCGGAGAGGGUGGCGGAAUUCCCCAAGUAGAGGUGGAAAUCGUAGAUAUGGGGAGGAACACCGGUGGCGAAGGCGAGUCUCUGGACGAUUCCGUGACGCUGAGGCACGAAAGCCAGGGGAGCAA